rnacentral:rRNA from 1 species
AUUGAACGCUGGCGGCAUGCCUUACACAUGCAAGUCGAGCGGCAGCGCGGGGGCAACCCUGGCGGCGAGCGGCGAACGGGUGAGUAAUACAUCGGAACGUGUCCAGUAGCGGGGGAUAACCUGUCGAAAGAUAGGCUAAUACCGCAUACGACCUACGGGUGAAAGCGGGGGACCGCAAGGCCUCGCACUAUUGGAGCGGCCGAUGUCGGAUUAGCUAGUUGGCGGGGUAACGGCCCACCAAGGCGACGAUCCGUAGCUGGUCUGAGAGGACGACCAGCCACACUGGAACUGAGACACGGUCCAGACUCCUACGGGUGGCAG